AAUGAACGCUGGCGGCGCGCCUAAUACAUGCAAGUCGAGCGAGAAGACGUAGCAAUACGUUUGUAAAGCGGCGAACGGGGUGAGGAAUACAUGGGUAACCUACCCUCGAGUGGGGAAUAACUAGCCGAAAGGUUAGCUAAUACCGCGUACGCUCCUUGGACUUCGGUUCAGGGAGGAAAGCGAUACCGUGGGUAUCGCGCUCUUGGUUGGGCUCAUGUCCUAUCAGCUUGUUGGUGAGGUAACGGCUCACCAAGGCUUCGACGGGUAGCUGGUCUGAGAGGACGAUCAGCCACACUGGCACUGCGACACGGGCCAGACUCCUACGGGAGGCAGCAGUAAGGAAUAUUGCGCAAU
rnacentral:rRNA from 1 species